GCAUGUCUGAAAUGGAGCAGAGGCUGAAUAAUAUGAGUUUGGAACAGAAAAUUCUCACCAGGAAACUGAGCGAGAAAUUGGCCGAAUGUGACGAAACUGAAAAGAAAGAUAAGCGUUGUAAGGACGGGUGGACGAGGUUUAAGGAAUCGUGCUACAAGUUCGGGGACAGUGACCUGACAUUCGACAGCGCACAGGAAUACUGCAAGAAUAUCGGCGCU